rnacentral:rRNA from 1 species
AGAGUUUGAUCAUGGCUCAGGGUGAACGUUGGCGGUGCGUCUAAUACAUGCAAGUCGAGCGAGGCUUCGAGCCGAGCGGCGGACGGCUGAGUAACACGUUGGUAACUACCCCCCACUCAGGGAUAAGCACGAGAAAUUGUGUCUAAUACCGGAUGAUCCCGCAAGGGUAAAGAUUUUUCGGUGGGGGAGGUGCCUGCGGCCUAUCAGCUUGUUGGUGAGGUAAUGGCUCACCAAGGCUAUGACGGGUAGCUGGUCUGAGAGGAUGAUCAGCCAGAGGGAGACUGAGACACGGCUCCCACUCCUACGGGAGGCAGCAGUAAAGAAUCUUCCACAAUGGACGAAAGUCUGAUGGAGCGACACCGCGUGCGGGAUGACGGCCCUUGGGUUGUAAACCGCUUUUCUGGGGGAAUAAUUAUGAAGGUACCCUAGGAAUAAGCACCGGCUAAUCACGUGCCAGCAGCCGCGGUAAUACGUGAGGUGCAAACGUUACCCGGAAUCAUUGGGCGUAAAGCGUCCGCAGGCUGCGUAGCAAGUCAGAUGUUAAAUCUUGAGGCUCAACUUCAAGCUCGUAUCUGAAACUGCUAUGCUAGAGAAUUGGAGAGGCGAGUGGAAUUCUAUAUGUAGGGGUAAAAUCCGUAGAUAUAUAGAGGAACACCAAAAGCGAAGGCAGCUCGCUGGCCAAUUUCUGACGCUCAUGGACGAAAGCGUGGGGAGCAAACGGGAUUAGAUACCCCGGUAGUCCACGCCGUAAACGAUGAUCACUCGAUGUUGGGAGUUCGACCCUCUCAGUGUCUAAGCUAACGCGAUAAGUGAUCCGCCUGGGGAGUACGGCCGCAAAGCUAAAACUCAAAGGAAUA